rnacentral:misc_RNA from 1 species
AUUUUCUCCGGGAAGCAAAACGAGAAAUGAGAGGAGGCUUGAUAUGGGCUACAGCAGAUGACUUGGCAAAGAAUAGAGGAAGAGUUCUGUCUUUGUAUAGGCAAAUCUUGAGGAGCCUUAAUUCACCUGCUUUGCCAUUUAGCUUAGCAGUUAGACUUCAAAAGAAAGCUGAGGUCCGUGCCAUGUUCAUGUUGGGUUCCGAGGAGCAAUCUCUACAUAACAUUCAAGAUCUUAUUGAUGCUGCUGAAUACUCUCUUUCCGUUUUACGAAAAGGCGAAAUUCCAUAGCACUUUCAAGUUUAUCAAUAAGCCUGGACAUCUUGCAAGCUGUUAUUGUG